AAUUACCCAAUCCCCGAUCGGGGAGGUAGUGACGAGAAAUAGCGAUGCCGCGAUCUUUUGAUCCGGCAGUUGAAAUGAGAACAAUGAAAGAAUUUUAUCGAGAAUCUAUUGGAGGGCAAGUUCUGGUGCCAGCAGCCGCGGUAAUUCCAGCUCGAAGAGCGUAUGUCAAAGUUGCUGCGGUUAAAACGCUCGUCGUUGGACAUCAGUGUGCGUGUCGCGGACAACCGAGUGUUGAUACCGCGUCCACGCACCUAAUAAUAUGCUUGACAACCGUUGAUGCACUUCGGUGUGUGUCACGGUGAAGGGCCACUGUCACUUUGAGAAAUUCAGUGUGCUCAACGCAGGCUUUACGCUUGAAUAAUGCUGCAUGGGAUGACGAAAUAAGGCCUUGGCUCCGUUUCGUUGGUUUACGAAAGCAAAGGUCAUGAUUAAUCGGGACAGACGGGGGCAUUCGUAUUGCGGUGCUAGAAGUGAAAUUCUGUGACCAUCGCAAGACGAACAACUGCGAAAGCAUUUGCCAAGAAUGUUUUCGUUAAUCAAGAACGAAAGUUAGAGGAUCGAAGACGAUUAGAUACCGUCCUAGUUCUAACUGUAAACUAUGCCAACUGGGCAUUCGCCAACGCUUUAUCUUGGCGAGCACCCUCCGGGAAACCAAAGUUAUUUGGUUCCGGGGAGAGUAUGGUUGCAAAAUCGAAACUUAAAGGAAUUGACGGAGGGGCACACCAGAAGUGGAGCCUGCGGCUCAAUUUGACUCAACGCACGAAAGCUUACUCGGUCCGAACACUGCGAGGAUUGACAGGUUGAAAGCUCUUUCUUGAUUCAGUGGGUAGCGGUGCAUGGCCGUU
rnacentral:rRNA from 1 species